CCGACGUUGUCCGGNAUUUNUUGGGCGUACNGCGAGCGCAGGUGGUUUAUUAAGUCUGGUGUAAAAGGCAGUGGCUCAACCAUUGUAUGCAUUGGAAACUGGUAGACUUGAGUGCAGGAGANGAGAGUGGAAUUCCNUGNGUAGCGGUGAAAUGCNUANAUAUAUGGAGGAACACCGGUGGCGAAAGCGGCUCUCUGGCCUGUAACUGACACUGAGGCUCGAAAGCGUGGGGAGCAAACAGGAUUAGAUACCCUGGUAGUCCACGCCGUAAACGAUGAGUGCUAGAUGUAGGGAGCUAUAAGUUCUCUGUAUCGCAGCUAACGCAAUAAGCACUCCGCCUGGGGAGUACGACCGCAAGGUUG
rnacentral:rRNA from 1 species